GGGAGACCAGAACUACUUUGUUGCCUGACUUUGUUUCAAAGACGUCCUACAGGCUCUGCCGAACUUUCUUAGACGGAACCACUGUCUAGGGUACUCCCUCCCAUCUUCCCCUCUCUGCCCCACUGGGGAUGAGACUCACGUCGAGGUCUGACGGCUCUCCCAGCCUCUCAUAGAUCCCACCUCCCUUUUUACCUCCCACCCUUUUCACGCAGGCAUGUCCCCCGAGAAAAAAAUCCUUGCAAGUUUAAUCUGUUCUUGAGGCCCCAACCCCCUCUGUUCCCAGUCGUGGCUGUCCCAGGUCCUGGUCCUGGUCGACAGUGGCGGACCACUGAGCCACACCUGUCCCUUUCCCAGGCCCGGCCCCCGCCUUAGGGCUGCAUCUCUCCGCGUGUCAGCUCAUCAAACCUGCACAUCUGAACUAUCGCUCCUGAUGACAAAGUUAGAUUGGGGGCCAGUGGGGUCGUUGCAGGUGUGGACCAGGCAGGAGAGGCUUGUUUAGCAUCACUAUGGAAACCCCAGGCACCCAUCUUGGAAAGGUGUUUUAAAAUGGCCGGGUCAGACGCUCAAGGGGCGGAGUCAGUAGAGAGGGGGCAGGGAAAUUCUCUGCCCCUCCCCCCGUGCUUCCGGGCAGGACUGGUGCGGAGCUCUUCAUUUCUCCUCACGCCAGCAGCAGCAGGUCCAGGGCCGUCCCGACUCCCGGAGAGAGAGCUCGGAGUUCAGGGGCUUGCGGGCUUCGACCCGAUGGUGUGAAGUGAGAAUGUCAACUUUUCUGAGCCCCAAUUUGUUUUUCUUCUGCACACUUGGGACAUAUCCUGAGUGACGCUGGACAGAUGCAGGUGGGAUGGGGUGAGAGGAUGGCAAGAGUUGGAAGGAAGGACCGUGGCUGGGUGGGUCCCUCUGGGACAGAGUAGGGCAGGCACAGCUCUAGGGACAUUUCACAGGAAGGAAUGCGGGGGGUGGGCUGCCAGGACGUCACAAGGGUCCCAUUGUGACGCCCCCCCCCCCCAGCAAAGCUGGGGAUUGGCCCAAGGAGCGGAGGGGGAGGGGCAGAUAGGAGGCUGGUUGCCAGGGCCUGAGCCCAACAGGGAGACGACGGGACAGAGUGGUGGCACUCUGGCUCCAGCUCCUCCUCCAGGCCCCUUCAUCCUGACCCUUUCACAGCCUCCUCUAACCAGGACUCCGACUUCCCUCUCCGUCUCCUCUAUCCGGCUCCAGGCGGGCCCCUCCAGGCCCAGCAGAAGCACGGGUCUGUGGACAGGGUGCGGCUGGCAAAGGAUCAGUGGACAGGGUGGGGCUGGCUGCACCACGCGAAUGAGACCUGCCAUAGGGAGACCCGACGCAGGGGCAGAGCGAAGAUGGGGCCUGCACAAAUCUGGCUCCGAUGAGGACUCACCAACCAUCCGGCGUCCUCUCCUGGGUCUCUGGCCCCACGGCCCCACGCUCGGGCUCGUUUUUGACUUACCUGCUGAUCAGUCCCUGGAUAUUCACAUCUGCCUGGGGUCACCAAGUCAAGAUGACCGUGGUGGGGAUGGAACUCUGAGUUUCCUGGACCACAGUGCAGGUGAAAAAUGUACCUUAUCAGAGCGAAAAGGAAUGGUCUUAUCACAAGAUCAUUUUGAAAAUGGGCCUCAGGGGACACAUGUCCCUUAAUCCAGUCUGUGAGGUCCUACAACACCAUACUCUGCAAAUUCUAGCAGAGAGGUUGCAGUGAUUUGGGAGAGGCCUCAAAAUCAUGACUGCACCUCCUGGCACAG
rnacentral:lncRNA from 1 species